rnacentral:rRNA from 1 species
GACGAACGCUGGCGGCGUGCUUAACACAUGCAAGUCGAACGAAGUGGCGAACGGGUGAGUAAUACGUGGGUAACCUGCCCUCCUUUUUGGGAUAAGCCUUGGAAACGGGGUCUAAUACCGAAUAAAGGGGGCUGGGCUCGCGGCCUAUCAGCUUGUUGGUGGGGUGAAGGCCUACCAAGGCGGGGACGGGUAGCCGGCCUGCGAGGGUGACCGGCAACAUUUGGGAGGAGAGACGGACCAGCGUACUACGGGAGGCAGCAGGGGGGGAUAUUGCAUAAUGGGCGAAAGCCUGAAGCGGCGACGCCGGGAGGGGGAUGAAGGCUUGAGGGUUUUAAACCUCUUUCGCUAUAGAACGGGUAGGUGGAGAAGAAGCGCCGGCUAACUACGUGCCAGCAGCCGCGGUAAUAC